rnacentral:rRNA from 1 species
UGAGGAAUAUUGGGUCAAUGGCCGGAAGGCUGAACCAGCCAAGCCGCGUGAAGGACGAAGGUGCCAAGCAUUGUAAACUUCUUUUGUCAAGGGACAAAAUCAGGCUCGAGAGCCUGACCGAGGGUACUUGAAGAAAAAGCAUCGGCUAACUCCGUGCC